CCCAGGUCCUGGCAGGGGUGUACCCCAUUGCCAAUCCUGUUUCUCCCCCAGGUCCUGGCAGGGGUGUACCCCAUUGCCAAUCCUGUUUCUCCCCCAGGUCCUGGCAGGGCUGUACCCCAAUCCCAACCCCAUUUUCCCGUUCCCAGGUCCUGGCAGGGGUGUACCCCAUUGCCCAGCUGCAGGACCCCUACUCGGCCGUGGGGUUCCUGGGGUCCCGCCUGGCCCUGCCCCCGCUGCUGCAGCUGCGCCCCCCAAACGGCCCCGGCUGGACGGCCUGGGAGAUCUGCGAAGGUCGGGAACGGCGGGGAAAACUCGGGAAUUCUCCGGGAAAAACUCGGGAAUUCUCCGGGGAAAACUCGGGAAUUCUCUGGGAAAAACUCGGGAAUUCUCCGGGAAAAUCUCGGGAAUUCUCCGGGAAAAACUCGGGAAUUUGGGAGGUUUUUUUUGGGAUAUUUCCCCCCUAACUUUGGGGGGUUUUUGUGCCAUUUCCCCCUAAUUCUGGUAUUUUUGGGUGCUGUUUCCCCCCUAAUUCUGGUAUUUUUGGGUGCCGUUUCCCCCCAGCCUGGGCGGAGAAGAGGGGCUAC
rnacentral:lncRNA from 1 species